rnacentral:lncRNA from 1 species
UGGAGAGGGAAUUAACUAGAAGAAUUGCAGGUGAUAGUUUGUGGAAUUGCUCGGUGCAGAAGAUAUAGAGUCACUCCUAGAACAGGGUGGAAUGAUAUUAAUGAAGUGGCAGUAAAGAUUGAGCCACAAUCUUCUUCUUCGAUGGCUCGAUGAACAGAAAACAACCCGCGAAUAAAGAUAUUAAUCAGCAAAUCGUUCUGUUCACAUAAACAUACAUUCUCAAUUGAAAGAUAUGCGUAAAUUACUUAACAAAUAUUAUUAAUCACAUCAUAAAAGAAAAUUAAUAAAUAAAAACAUCACCUUCGACAUCAUCUCGUUAACCGCGGCAGUUAGUUUGGAGAUGGAGAGAUAGUGGCUUGAGGGAGUGAGGAAUUGAAUGCAAAUACAGUCAAUUGCAAUCCAACAAAUGUAGCAAAUGAUAUCCAUCAGAAUAUCAGGAUCAUUUUUUUUUCCCUUCUAAUAAAGCAACCAAUUCCAUGUUGAGAUAUUGAAACAAAUCCCUAAUUUACCAAACUGAAAAAACAAAAAUUAUUGCCCCAUCUCAAAUAAUGUUCUGAAUCCCAGGUACUCAUUAAAAUAUAUGAACAAUAAAAAUACAUUGUGGAAAUGAUAGGCAAAUUAAAACAGUCCAAAAAAAUAAAAUUAAAAAACCAACCC